rnacentral:misc_RNA from 1 species
GCUCCAUCCAUUAGACUCCGAGCCUGUUCCCAUUUCCGAGUACUUUAUAUCCUGACGAACAACCAAGAACCCAGUACCAUAUUCUUCGCCUAAAAAAAUCAGAUGAAAUGCAAAAAAUCUGUGGCAGGAUUUCCCUGCGAAGAGGCAAGGGGGAGGAGGAGGGAAUGUGGAGACUGAAAAACAACAGAUAGAGAAGGAUAAGGUUCGAAAGAUUUUGAUGAAUCAGAUGCUUGUCACUUGUUCGAAUCCCGGACUCGCCUGCGCCCAGUUGUCGAUUUGGAGCUGGUUAAAAUUUUCUUUGGGCUGAGCUCUUUGUUUUUCCGCACAGUUGGUUUGGUUCUCCGGUGAGCGAAGCGAGAUUGCGGAUCGCUUGGCUGUGGUCGUAGAAUGACUCUUAUACCCCGCAUUCUCUUGACUAAUACAAAUAGUAGACGAUGGGCUUUUGUUUUUUUAAUUAGAUUAUAAAAAUAAAAUUUCAGUCAUUCUUUAUUUGUGAAUAAAUUCUAAAAUUACAAAAAAAAACAAACAAACAGGGAGGAUUAUCCCUCUGAUUGGUGGCUUAACCAAACACUGAGCUUAUCUGCUUAUGUGCAAGAACUGUGCCUGCUUUACAGGGAUUUGGGAAUCCGAUCUUUAAAUUUCACUUGAAAUUCUUGUGUCUGUUUUAACUUCAGAGUCUGGCAAUUUUAGUACAAUGGCGCCCAAAGGAUAGAUUUUACAGGAUGUAAUUUGAAGCAGAAAAAAGAAAAUUAAUUACUCAUAAAAUCAGCUAUUUUAUUUGAAGUUCACAAAGGAUGAAAAUUCCAUCACUGUCCCAUAGAACCAUCAAACACCCCUCUCAUCAAGGUGAACCCCCCAGAAGAUCCACCACCAGCCACAGAUUCAAGUACAGGACUCCUCUCCUCCACACCCUCCUUAAAACAAUAAACAGGAGCUUGCCAAUUUUUAUCCUCCAGCACUGCUCCGACCUCAAAAGUCAUCACAUGAGCAACCAUCCCUGUAUAGAAGGCCCAGUAAACUGGUCUCUUAGUUUUGACAUCCUCAUAGUACCAAAUGAAAUCCACCUUUUCCCACACGUUGCAGAGGAAGCCAUCAACUUGUUGCUGACCGAGAUAGUUAGCGCCUUCAAGCCAGUUGGGUCGAAGAACACCCACCGGGAAACGCAGUGUUCUGCAUUCUUGAUUCGAGUCCAAGGUGUAGAUAUAGGAAGUGCCAUUAUCCCAUUCAAGGUCAUACAAGAGCUUUCCCAGCUGAUUCUGGAUUAUGUUGAAGUUGCGGCCAUUGGGCCAGUCGUACCAGAGGUCCACCACUUGGAGGUUGCCGGCGUUAUUGUUCAUGAAGAGUAUUGAGUGAAAUUGGUGAGGCCAUGCAGCUGGUGUUGGGUCUGCAAUUUUUGAUGCUAUUGAAAAAACAUUGACACAAGAAAUUAAGAGAAAAAUUAGCGGGGGGCAGGACAUGGAUUUCAUUGCGGAGGCCAUUGUUUAUUUGUUAUCGUGUCCCAAUUGGUUAAUGGCUUUAUCCUUAGAAGGUUUCUAUAUUUGCAAUUUCAGGACAUCGCAGUAUUGGAAAUUCUAUUUUUACCCAUCCUAAUAUUUGCGCUCGUUUAUACUAUUGCCCGGCGGUAUUUUAUUUUUCUAUUUGCGCACCGGCUAUUGUUUUCAUUUAGGAAUGCCAGUUCCCAGCUUCUAAAAGCAAGUGCAACAUCUCUCACAAGAUGGACGA